ACAGCAGUCGCCACGGUAAGACGAACCGUGCAAACGUUACUCGGAAUCACUGGGCUUAAAGCGCACGUAGGCGGCGACAUAAGUUAGAGGUGAAAUCCCAUCGGCUCAACCGUGGAACUGCCUCUAAUACUGUGUUGCUUGAGGGAGAACGGGGCAUUCGGAACUUCCGGUGGAGCGGUGAAAUGUGUUGAUAUCGGAAGGAACGCCGGUGGCGAAAGCGGAAUGCUGGGUCUCUUCUGACGCUGAGGUGCGAAAGCUAGGGUAGCGAACGGGAUUAGAUACCCGCGUAGUCCCUGUCUCUUAUU
rnacentral:rRNA from 1 species